CCUACGGGAGGCAGCAGUGAGGAAUAUUGGUCAAUGGACGAGAGUCUGAACCAGCCAAGUAGCGUGAAGGAUGACUGCCCUAUGGGUUGUAAACUUCUUUUAUAUGGGAAUAAAAUGUUCCACGUGUGGGAUUUUGUAUGUACCAUAUGAAUAAGGAUCGGCUAACUCCGUGCCAGCAGCCGCGGUAAUACGGAGGAUCCGAGCGUUAUCCGGAUUUAUUGGGUUUAAAGGGAGCGUAGGUGGAUUGUUAAGUCAGUGGUGAAAGUUUGCGGCUCAACCGUAAAAUUGCAGUUGAAACUGGCAGUCGUGAGUACAGUAGAGGUGGGCGGAAUUCGUGGUGUAGCGGUGAAAUGCUUAGAUAUCACGAAGAACUCCGAUUGCGAAGGCAGCUCACUGGACUGCAACUGACACUGAGGCUCGAAAGUGUGGGUAUCAAACAGGAUUAGAUACCCCUGUAGUC
rnacentral:rRNA from 1 species